CAGCCCCUGCAGGAAACAGGGACAGCCGGGGUCGAGCCGAGCCCAGCCGAGCCCAGCCGAGCCCAGCCGAUUAUGGCCGGGGCGGGCCGAGGCGGACUCACUGCGCCUCAUCGGGACGGGACCUCUCUAGUCGCAGUUGCACCUGCCAAGCUAUGAGACGCACUUUUAACAGCGGAGGGACAUGUCGCCUGUAUGUGCGCGUGUUUAGCCUGCCUGGGUCCCGGAGCAGAAGAGGAGCGCCUCUUUCCCCCCCCCCACCCCCCAGUAACAUUCUGGGCAAUUCAGCGGCUGCAGAUUCUGUGUGGCCCUGGUCGUCGGUGAGUUACGGCUUCACUGUAACUUCAUGAAUGCUGCAGACGCCUAUGAGCUUCAAAUUUGCAGGCAGGAUUGGUAUGACGCACUACUGGCAAAGAGAACAAAGAGAAGACUAAAGCAGAGAGGCUGUGACGUGACUACAGUCAAAACAUGUUGGACCAAACGGAAAAAGACCUGAAGUUUAAAACCAGCACAGAGGCAGCACGGACAGACGGAGUGGGGCGGCAGGGAGGAUGACAUCACUGUCACCCGUGGGAGCCAGGGCCUGUCAUUCAUGCCAGCGGGGAUCAAAUGGCAGCGAGGAGGAGGCUGUGAGUACCCAACCAUGGUUCCGAACAAAGUCGGUACACAUCAUUAUGCACUCACAACAUUAUGUAUGAUGUUUGUGAUGUCUGAAAUAACACCGUGCUUCAGUAUGUGGCUGACAACACUCGCUAUGAAUUCCGCCUAAUGCAGGCGUAGCUGUCAUGUGCUGUCAGCCCCGUUUCUCGUGAUGUGCGUUCUGUUUGAAUUCCUCUCCGGUGCUGGAGGCAAAUGUUCCCCGUCCCAGCUGUCCGUGCUGCUGCUGCUGCUGCUGCUGCUGCUGCCACGGCAACCACAUUCAUGCGUGAGACAGACUUCCUCGCAAUGAGAAGCGCCGUCACGUUUCUCCUUCCUCUGACAGAGUUAAGUUUGGUAUUGCCAAACCUUCCUUCCUCCACAGCGCUGCGGAGGAAGGUCUGGCUAGUCCACACAGCAUUGUGGGAUUUGGAGAAAAACGUGCU